UCAGACGAUGCGUCAUGCAUAUCAAUAAGCGGAGGAAAAGAAACUAACAAGGAUUCCCUUAGUAACGGCGAGUGGAGCGGGAAGAGCUCAAAUUUGAAAUCUUCAAGGUUUUACCUUGACGAAUUGUAGUUUAAAGAAGUGUUUUCUGCUGAAGUUUUGGUAAAAGUUCUUUGGAAUAGGGCAUCAUAGAGGGUGAGAAUCCCGUAUUUGACCAUUAUUUUCAGCUUUGUGAUACACCUUCAAAGAGUCGGAUUGUUUGGGAAUGCAGUCCAAAAUGGGUGGUAAAUUUCAUCUAAAGCUAAAUAUUGGCGAGAGACCGAUAGCGAACAAGUACCGUGAGGGAAAGAUGAAAAGAACUUUGAAAAGAGAGUUAAACAGUACGUGAAAUUGUCAAAAGGGAAGCGUUUGACACCAGUGUUGUUUUCUCGAAAAUCAAUUAAAAAUGGCUCGAUUUUGUAUUGCUUGAGACCUUAAAAGCUCACUGUACAUUUUUCGUGUCUUUUUAAUGCACUUUUCGUUUAACAAGUCAACAUCAGUUUCUUUUGUUGUAAAAGGGUCAUUGGAAGGUGGCUUUCUUUUCGGAGAAAGUGUUUAUAGCCUUUGGCCUCUGCAAUCGAAGAGACUGAGGUCUGCAGCGUAGACUCUUCGGGGUUAGAUACAUUUGUGCUAAGUUAUAGCUUUUUAUAGACAACUUGUUGACUAUAAUUAGUCUUGUAGCUUACUCGCUUAUGCUAUUUUACCUACGCUUAGGAUGUUGACGAUCAGCUGAGCGCG
rnacentral:rRNA from 1 species